GACGAACGCUGGCGGCGUGCUUAACACAUGCAAGUCGAACGGAAAGGCCCUGCUUUUGUGGGGUGCUCGAGUGGCGAACGGGUGAGUAACACGUGAGUAACCUGCCCUUGACUUUGGGAUAACUUCAGGAAACUGGGGCUAAUACCGGAUAGGAGCUCCUGCUGCAUGGUGGGGGUUGGAAAGUUUCGGCGGUUGGGGAUGGACUCGCGGCUUAUCAGCUUGUUGGUGGGGUAGUGGCUUACCAAGGCUUUGACGGGUAGCCGGCCUGAGAGGGUGACCGGCUACAUUGGGACUGAGAUACGGCACAGACUCCUACGGGAGGCAGCAGUGGGGAAUAUUGCACAAUGGGCGGAAGCCUGAUGCAGCAACGCCGCGUGCGGGAUGACGGCCUUCGGGUUGUAAACCGCUUUCGCCUGUGACGAAGCGUGAGUGACGGUAAUGGGUAAAGAAGCACCGGCUAACUACGUG
rnacentral:rRNA from 1 species